CAACGGCCAAAUCUUGUAGAAUGAGAACAUCCUAGCCCGAUACGGUGCGUGCUUUCUUAUUAUGCCAUGACCAGUUUGAUCAGUCAUGCGCAUGAGCUUUUCUAUGAGGCCACGCUAUUUGAAAUUUCAAAAAGAGCAUGUCUUGUUUGUUAUACUACAUUUCUAGGCAUCCGUACAACCUGGAGGAGCUUUGUCUUUCUGUACCGAAACAUCUAUGGUGUGCUUUUGUCUAAAAUCCGUUAACAAGUAGAGCAAUGGUCGGCCCUGCAUUAGCAUAUGUAAGGAAUUUUAGAUGGUAAUACUUUUACCACACAGACAACCUGAAAUUCAAUGGCUAAUAAUUGACUAAUAUCAUGCGAGGUUCUAAUAUGUCAAUGACUAAUAUACUCUAGAGAACUUAUGUCCAUGAGUAUCCAUCAGUAUUUCCAGUGUAUUGCUAAAUUUUCUCAGUGUGGACUUGCCACUUUUUACCUUCAAGAUCCCUGUAAUUUUUUAAGAUGACUUUUGUCAGUUAACUGGAGAUGUUCCGUCAUUCAAACAUGUUGAUGGCCAAGCAAAAUAUUCAGGUGAUGUGCCCAACAUGCUUCUGCACGAGAGUUUGCUAUGGGAAGUAAGCAUGAGGUGUGCCUGCUGGUUAUGCAAAAAAAUAGAUGUGUCUAACAAUUGCAUUCUACUUUUGUGGUAAAGCCUGAAUAAGUCUUUGUUGUAUACUCUAAACACUUACAGCAAGAUGAAGCUGGCACAGUGAGGCUAGAGACGGGUCACAUUUGGUUGCACAUGGGAGUUGUUCUUGUGAACGUGGGUGAUGAGAUUGACACAAAGCUGCCGAGGAAGGAGCGGGUGACAUUUGUUUCUAAAGGGUAUCGAGUUUCAUAUGUUUUUAUCUCCUUUGUUAUUCUGAUUACGAGUCGCAUUACCAAUCAUUCAACAAUUAUAGUUUGAUAUUUUAGUUCCAUCUCAAUCAUUCAUUUAUGCCUGAUCAGCCAUGAACGUGCAACUACAUUAAAGUUUGCAUUAAAAUUUUGUUUGCAAAUAGAGGUCAGCGAAGCCUUUUCUUGGCCCAGACAGACCUGCACCGCCUGCCCACCCGACAGGAGCUAUAACUAUUCUACAUAUUUAGGAGACAUUUAAUACUGUGUGCGGCGUGCAGGCUAUUCAUUUAGGCCAGAUUUUGGCCAGAUUUCAAAAGAGAUUAUGCCUCAUGUAUGUAGUGACGCAAAGGACCCGUGUACACGCGUCACAUAGAGGAGGCGGCUGAUAGCAGGCAAGCGUUUCCCAAAUAUCAUAUUAUAGUACUAGCUUUCUAGAAUUAAAUGGAACUACAUAUUGUUUUCAACUUCUAAGCAAUGUAUUUAUAUGCCUAUUUGACAAAUUCCCCUUUAAUCUGAAUCACAAGAAACAGAGAGUAUACAGAGAGUGCGUGGGAGAACUUUACGUGCCAUCAUGAGGAAAGAGGGAACAACCUACGGUAGUAUGUUAUACUGACCAGUCUAAAUUGUAGUUCUAUUUUCUUUUUCAACCAGAUUUUUUUCUUGAGAUCAAUAUAUGUUGUAUACUGAAAUCAUGUUGUAUUAAGAAGUAUCAUGACAAAAUUAUCUUCUCUAAUUACUUGUUAUGUUUGACAAUGGGAUGUUGGGGGAUUAAUCAGUAGAUUCAAUGUUCUUAUUUUACAAACUAUCGGAGACCUAAUGGAUGGAACAUAUAUAUUAUUGUAUUUACGCAGCAACAUGACUCCACCCUCUGCUGUUCUAUUUUAAAAAUACAUCUUAAGUGAUAAUUAAUUUGUUGUCCCGCAAAGCAAUUUUACGGGCCCGGUUGAGUCAUUUUGCAAGUUUUUGUUUGAAAUUGUACCGGCACUGCAAGUUUAUGUCUUAAUAGUGCAAUUAACUCUUAUUUUUAUGCCUGAUGUAUAAGUACAGAUUUGUUAUAUUUUAAUAUUUCAUGAUUUUGACAACCUGAGCAACCAUCAUUGGUAUCCACUUUCAAGAAUUACUAGCAUUGGUACCUGAUGCUUCAUCUUG